UACGGAGGGUGCAAGCGUUAUCCGGAUUCACUGGGUUUAAAGGGUGCGUAGGCGGUCAGCACAAGUCAGUUGUGAAAUCUCCGGGCUUAACUCGGAAAGGUCAACUGAUACUGUGCGACUAGAGUGCGGAAGGGGCAACUGGAAUUCUCGGUGUAGCGGUGAAAUGCGUAGAUAUCGAGAGGAACACCUGCGGCGAAGGCGGUUGCUGGGCCGACACUGACGCUGAUGCGCGAAGCCAGGGGAGCGAACGGG
rnacentral:rRNA from 1 species